UUUUUGGACUUUUCCACGUCUGAGUGCAUCAGUAGCUGCGCUGUACUUAGCAAAAAUGAACAUGGUUUUGCUCACAAUCAUCUUCAUCGGGGUAGCGCACGAAAACAAUUGUCAAUUUAGACUCUAAAUUUUAGAGUCAUGAUUCUCUGCUAGUGUUGGACAAGUUCCACUAUUAUUACGCAGCCGCCCUCUUGUAGCAUGUGAGAGAAUUACUGAAAGAAAUACAAUUAACAUUUCCAGUGUGGGCCAUUGUGGUGGUCUUUGAGAGCAAAAAUAUUUUUUGAGCUGAUUCAUCAUGUUUUAGAGAUGGCAGAGGAGCAUGCAAAUGAAGCUGCGAGCGCACCUGCCUUUGUGAAAGUGCGAGGCCGCCACUUCCUGUUUGGACUUGUGCUUUUCGGUAUUACAGCAAAUCAUUGCUCAUUGACAGUAGAUGAGUUUUUGUACGGACGGCUCACCGCUUUGCAUCACUGUGGUGGAGUUUCACUGAAGAAGGAACCAAACUUAUCCUUGCGGGUGAGGUGCAUCGGCCCACCGUGACCCUCUUCCCUCCUUCCAAGGAGCAGCUGCAAACGGAACAGGCCACAGCCGUGUGCCUGGCCAAAGGGGGCCCCCAAACUUGGACCCUGGGUUGGAAGGUUGAUGGCGCCCCCGCUACCUCGGGGGUAUCGCACAGCUCCCUGGAAGAGGCUGAUGUAGGUGGGCUUUACAGCUGGACCAGCACCUUGAGCCUCUCACCGGACCAGUGGCGCAAGGCCCAGUCAGUGAGCUGCGAGGCCAGCCUAGCCGGGCAAAACCCUGUCACGCAAACACUGCCGAACCCAGGACAAUGCUCAGAGUAGAGCCUGAAUUCGUGUCUGUGUCUUUGCGACGUUGAAGCAUUGUGAAAUAAAAAUGUCUGAGUAUCAUCA